rnacentral:rRNA from 1 species
UGGGGAAUAUUGGGCAAUGGGCGAAAGCCUGACCCAGCAACGCCGCGUGAGUGAUGAAGGCCUUCGGGUUGUAAAACUCUUUGGACAGGGACGAAGAAAGUGACGGUACCUGUAGAACAAGCCACGGCUAACUACGUGCCAGCAGCCGCGGUAAUACGUAUGGGGCGAGCGUUGUCCGGAAUUAUUGGGCGUAAAGGGUACGUAGGUGGUCUAUUAAGUCAGGUGUGAAAGCGUGAGGCUUAACCUCAUUAAGCACUUGAAACUGAUAGACUUGAGUGAAGGAGAGGAAGGUGGAAUUCCUAGUGUAGCGGUGAAAUGCGUAGAUAUUAGGAGGAAUACCGGUGGCGAAGGCGACUUUCUGGACUUUUACUGACGCUCAGGUACGAAAGCGUGGGGAGCAAACAGG